rnacentral:rRNA from 1 species
UACCAGCACCCCGAGUGGUCGGGACGUUUAUUGGGCCUAAAGCAUCCGUAGCCGGUUCUACAAGUCUUCCGUUAAAUCCAACUGCUUAACAGGUGGGCUGCGGAAGAUACUUUAGAGCUAGGAGGCGGGAGAGGCAAGCGGUACUCGAUGGGUAGGGGUAAAAUCCGUUGAUCCAUUGAAGACCACCAGUGGCGAAGGCGGCUUGCCAGAACGCGCUCGACGGUGAGGGAUGAAAGCUGGGGGAGCAAACCGG